GACGAACGCUGGCGGCGUGCUUAACACAUGCAAGUCGAACGGAAAGGCCCUGCUUUUGUGGGGUGCUCGAGUGGCGAACGGGUGAGUAACACGUGAGUAACCUGCCCUUGACUUUGGGAUAACUUCAGGAAACUGGGGCUAAUACCGGAUAGGAGCUCCUGCUGCAUGGUGGGGGUUGGAAAGUUUCGGCGGUUGGGGAUGGACUCGCGGCUUAUCAGCUUGUUGGUGGGGUAGUGGCUUACCAAGGCUUUGACGGGUAGCCGGCCUGAGAGGGUGACCGGGCAAAUUGGGAAUGAGAUAACGCCCAGACUCCUACGGGAGGCAGCAGUGGGGAAUAUUGCACAAUGGGCGGAAGCCUGAUGCAGCAACGCCGCGUGCGGGAUGACGGCCUUCGGGUUGUAAACCGCUUUCGCCUGUGACGAAGCGUGAGUGACGGUAAUGGGUAAAGAAGCACCGGCUAACUACGUG
rnacentral:rRNA from 1 species